rnacentral:lncRNA from 1 species
GGCAGACUAUCCUGUUGUACUCACUAUUAUAUUCCCAGAGCUUAAAAAAGUGUUUGGUGUAUACUGGCUGAAUUAAUUGAAUAAAAUAAAAUAGGAUCACAUCAUGUUUUUUCUUCACUGUAGCCUACUGACAUAAAGACUUUAAAUUUUUCUUAGUGACAUACGAAAAUGGGUUACUGUUUUCCUUCCCACCAUGUCUUUCUGUUUCAUUUUUCUUGAUUAUUCUUAACACUACUUGUCUAUUUUAUGUUAGGUUUCUCAAACUAAAGCCCGACUUUGGAUAGGUGAUACCAGGAAACAUGAAGAAGGCAAUGAGGAGAGUGAAGCAGUAGAGAAGCCCAGCCAGGGAAGGAGACAGGAGCAAGAUUCCAAUCUGAGCGAAGAGGCACCGCAUUCCACACCCUCAGAAGACUGGCUGGUCUUUAUUCUGUGAUAAGAAAGCUUCAGCUGUAUUUUUGCCAAAAAUAUUUAACCUGCAUCGAAUCAUGAAGAAAUAAUCAGGCAAAUCAAAUUUGAGGAACAUUCUGCAAAACAACUUUUCAAAACGGCUGUUAAAAACCACUCUUCAACACUGUCAAUGUCUUGAAAGACAAAAUAGGAGAACUAUUCUAGAUUAAAGGAGAUGAAAGACAAAUGGUAAAUCAAAAGCAAUACGUGAUCCCUG